UCUCCGUAGGUGAACCUGCGGAGGGAUCAUUACCGAGUGAGGGUCCUUGUGGCCCGACCUCCAACCCCCUGUCUUCCGACUCUGUUGCCUCGGGGGCGACCCGGCCCUCUGGGCGUCGGGGCCCCCGGUGGUCCAUCUCAACCCUGCAUCUGUGCGUCUGAGUAAAUAUUUGAAUCAAUCAAAACUUUCAACAACGGAUCUCUUGGUUCUGGCAUCGAUGAAGAACGCAGC
rnacentral:misc_RNA from 1 species